rnacentral:lncRNA from 1 species
ACGGGCCUAUCCCAGGACAUCACACACAAAGAGGCGGCGGUGAACCCAAGCCGCCGGGCCGGCCUGUGGCUCAGUGUGUGUUUCAGAAGUCCCGGCCCCAGGCAGCUCUCCUGAACAGAGCCACUGGAACUCAGGAGGGUCAGGACCACAGCCCAAACAACUGCGACCGAAAACACCCUACAGGGCUUGAGAACUAAAAAAUAAGGAGGGAUCUGGGCAGCCGAGCUGCCUCCUAAAGAAGCCACGUCAUAGAGAAAACUGCUUGCUCUAUCCAUGAGACGGAGGCGGCCGGGGUGUCCUGCCAGCAGACACGGGUCUGUCCAUCACCGGCCACCACGCUGCCUCUGUCCUUCACUCCCAUUUAAGGGAAAACGAUAUCUCUUCAUCUUUCUGCCCUGGACAUUGGAAAUCAGCGGAAGAGUCUCUCCCUUUUGCAAACGCCAGCCACAGAGGUUUAUUUUUCUCCCUGAGAGAAGGAAGAGUGAAGGCUGAGACUGAGACAGAAGGACAGAAGGAGAAGACUUAGAAGCCAGUGAGCCCGGAACCACGAGACGCGCUCUGAGGACACGGGGCCUCGGGGAAACCGGGCACGGGCAGGGGUUGGUCUUGGCUUCCCCGCAACAUUGCCGCGAGCUCGGGUGCCGUCUCCACUCGCAGGCUGGCCUGUCCUCUGCAGCCACGAGCUCAGGCACCGUCUCCGUUCAUAGGCCAGCCUGUUCUCUGCAGCCUGAGGUCCCUGUGGUGCCAACAUCCAGAUGCUGAGAUAAUUCUGCCAGGGUGUUGGCUGAUCGGUGAUUGGUGGUUGGCUGUUCCGUGAGUUCUGCAUUGAUCUUGCUGGCUGAGCGUCCAAUGCGGAGGGGCAGGUGCUGUUAGGGUCUCCACUCCCAUCCCUCUCCCCAGGACUCAUCACCCACUGCAA